rnacentral:rRNA from 2 species
AGAGUUUGAUCCUGGCUCAGAGUGAACGCUGGCGGCGUGCCUAAUACAUGCAAGUCGAACGAUGAAAUUUCUAGCUUGCUAGAAAUGGAUUAGUGGCGCACGGGUGAGUAACGCAUAGGUCAUGUGCCUCUUAGUUUGGGAUAGCCAUUGGAAACGAUGAUUAAUACCAGAUACUCCCUACGGGGGAAAGAUUUAUCGCUAAGAGAUCAGCCUAUGUCCUAUCAGCUUGUUGGUAAGGUAAUGGCUUACCAAGGCUAUGACGGGUAUCCGGCCUGAGAGGGUGAACGGACACACUGGAACUGAGACACGGUCCAGACUCCUACGGGAGGCAGCAGUAGGGAAUAUUGCUCAAUGGGGGAAACCCUGAAGCAGCAACGCCGCGUGGAGGAUGAAGGUUUUAGGAUUGUAAACUCCUUUUGUUAGAGAAGAUAAUGACGGUAUCUAACGAAUAAGCACCGGCUAACUCCGUGCCAGCAGCCGCGGUAAUACGGAGGGUGCAAGCGUUACUCGGAAUCACUGGGCGUAAAGAGCGCGUAGGCGGGAUAGUCAGUCAGGUGUGAAAUCCUAUGGCUUAACCAUAGAACUGCAUUUGAAACUACUAUUCUAGAGUGUGGGAGAGGUAGGUGGAAUUCUUGGUGUAGGGGUAAAAUCCGUAGAGAUCAAGAGGAAUACUCAUUGCGAAGGCGACCUGCUGGAACAUUACUGACGCUGAUUGCGCGAAAGCGUGGGGAGCAAACAGGAUUAGAUACCCUGGUAGUCCACGCCCUAAACGAUGGAUGCUAGUUGUUGGAGGGCUUAGUCUCUCCAGUAAUGCAGCUAACGCAUUAAGCAUCCCGCCUGGGGAGUACGGUCGCAAGAUUAAAACUCAAAGGAAUAGACGGGGACCCGCACAAGCGGUGGAGCAUGUGGUUUAAUUCGAAGAUACACGAAGAACCUUACCUAGGCUUGACAUUGAGAGAAUCCGCUAGAAAUAGUGGAGUGUCUAGCUUGCUAGACCUUGAAAACAGGUGCUGCACGGCUGUCGUCAGCUCGUGUCGUGAGAUGUUGGGUUAAGUCCCGCAACGAGCGCAACCCCCUUUCUUAGUUGCUAACAGGUCAUGCUGAGAACUCUAAGGAUACUGCCUCCGUAAGGAGGAGGAAGGUGGGGACGACGUCAAGUCAUCAUGGCCCUUACGCCUAGGGCUACACACGUGCUACAAUGGGGUGCACAAAGAGAAGCAAUACUGCGAAGUGGAGCCAAUCUUCAAAACGCCUCUCAGUUCGGAUUGUAGGCUGCAACUCGCCUGCAUGAAGCUGGAAUCGCUAGUAAUCGCAAAUCAGCCAUGUUGCGGUGAAUACGUUCCCGGGUCUUGUACUCACCGCCCGUCACACCAUGGGAGUUGUGUUUGCCUUAAGUCAGGAUGCUAAAUUAGCUACUGCCCACGGCACACACAGCGACUGGGGUGAAGUCGUAACAAGGUAACCGUAGGUGAACCUGCGGUUG